rnacentral:lncRNA from 10 species
CCUGAGGAACUAUGCCAAAGCCAUCCUGCCCGAGCCUGGAGUUUGGAGGAAUCAAGGCUCAUCUUGUGUUCUCUAUGUUUGAGCAGGACCCUUCCUUGGCUAGGCCCCAGGGAAGGUGCCUUGUGUUGACUGUCUGGGGCCCAGCUCCUGGCAGCUGGAAGGCCCAAGUGGGUCUGACUGGCCUGACAUCACAAAUACCCCCUUCCUCCAUGGGCUUCCUCUUGCUGUGGGUUUUUUUUUUCUGCCAAGGGGCAUUUGAGAUGGACCUAGCACUGGUGCCCUGAGCACAGGGCACAGCUGGGCCCCUGAUAGCCUGUGGGCAGGUGGGCUUCAGGAUGGAGAGCCCUUUAAUCCCAGACCUGAAGGUGUCAUAGUAGGUCCAGCCACAGUCACAGCCCUAAGCCCCACUGGGAUUGUGGGGUGGGGAAAGGGGUGGGGAGGUGGUUGGUGACCUGGCUGCUCCUAGGGUAUUGAGUCCUUGGCCAGGUCCUGUGCUGCCCUGUGUGUGUGGCAAGCCCUGCACACAUCCCAUUGAUUCCCCUUCCCCUUUGGGCCAGGGUCAUCCCUGGUCCCAUGUUACACCUCCACUUCCACCUCAAAGCUCCCAAGUUCCCCUUUUCUCAACAAAGGCAGGGGCAGAAUAGGCUUCUCACCCAUCCUAACAGAUGCCCUAGAUUUUUCUCCUCUGAGCCUGUGCUCAAGCCAACCCCAUGCCCAGAAUACCCCCUCUGUGCCUAAUGAAACCCUGCUCGCUCUUCAAUAUAAACAGCACCUCCACCACGAAGCUCUCCUUGAUCCUGACCCCUGUGGCUGGAGUUGGUGGCCCUUUCCACUGAACACAGUGUUGGAACACUGAUAAGGGCCACCUGGUCAGCCAUGGCUGUGGCCUGGUAGAACUCUCCCUCUGAGCUGGGAACUGACCUUGGUAUCCUGAACUGAGCACAGGAUAUGAUGGGCAGCUGAUGACACACUUGGGCAGUGACUUUCCCCCAGGGGCUGGGGUGCUGGAUGUCAUGUAUGAGUCCCCUUUCACACUGCUGUCCUGUGGCUAUGACACCUAUGUUCGCUACUGGGACCUCCGCACCAGCGUCCGGAAAUGUGUCAUGGAGUGGGAGGAGCCCCACGACAGCACCCUGUACUGCCUGCAGACAGAUGGCAACCACCUGCUGGCCACAGGUUCCUCCUACUACGGUGUUGUACGGCUGU